AUGGCGAAACUAACGGUGCACUACGGGCGGAAGCACGCCGGAAUUCCACGGGUCGCGGUCGGCUCCGCCGGUCGCACUUUCCUGCGGCCCGUCUCGCCCUGCCGUACGUACCCCUACAGGGAUAAGUACUGGUAUGGCACACUGUUCAAUCCACGACCAAUCCCUGACGAACUAGCCACCCCAGCCCAGCAUAGAGGACUAGAGGGUACUGUGGCAAAGUCACGGCGUUGUUCGUCUGCGCGGAUGCGCUCACACGUGUUCUGCGUGUUACCGCUACAAGUAGUAGUACAGCACAGGCCUCUUGUCUCUGCCACCCUUGGCCUCGUCGGAGGGACGAUGAUGACGUAUGUGGCCGACACACCUCUCCCUUGUUGUUGUUCCCCCGAUGCACCGGACGCACAUUUUCUUCCAGAAAAUGAAAGCGGAUGCCCAAUAUGCCAUGGAGGGGCUGAAGAUAUUAAACAUCUUCUUUUCGGCUGCGUCCAUGCGAAGGAGUUAUGGAGAAACUUGGGAAUAUUGGACACGGUUGAACAAGCUAUGGAAGGGCAGCGAUCAAGAUCGAUGGCCCUAGAAAAUUUGUUGUUGAUGGACGAUCGCUCGCUUGCUCUUAAGCCAGGCUUAGAUGUUAAACAAGUCAUUGAUGUGGGGGGAUGGUAUCUGUGGUGGAUCCGCCGUGAGAUAACACACAACGGGUCACCUCCAUUAAUCUCCAAAUGGGCUAUGUCGGUUAUGGCAAUUGCUAACAAUUUUCAUGAAGCAAAUCAAAAAUCCCAAGAUCCCCAGAUACAGAGAUGGACGAAACCGGAACCGAAGUUUGUCAAGGUGAAUGUUGAUGCAACAUUCUUUGAGAAUGAGAGGGCAGGGGCAACAGCUGCAGUAAUCACAGAUGACAAGGGGAAGUUCUUGGCAGCCCAAUGCACCUUUUUACCGCAUACUAUGGACGUGGUAUCCUCUGAAGCUCAAGCGAUGAGGGAUGGACUUGUAUUGGCAAAUUUCCUGGGCUUCCCUAGAGUUGAAGCUGAAUCAGACUCUACAACGCUGAUUGAACAAUGCUCAGGUCAAAACAGAUGGUGGGAUGUUGCGCCAGUCUUUUUCGCCGAGUGUGUGGAUGUGGCAUCGAUGAUUGGCAAGAACGCCUCUGAAAGUGGAGAGGUCCUUCCAACUUCUAUCUUGCUGUAUCGUCGUGAUGGUUCCACCUUCUCACGUACGCAAGCCCUCCCCGUCCCUAACUCGGCCCACGGCCGAGAUCCAUCGCCUCCUUCGAUCCAUCCCCUGUCCGUCCCUCUCGCACUUCCUCUGUCAAAAAUUGAAAAAAAAAACAGCCGCGUCCCACGCCCCGUCUUCGCCCAACUGCCUCGAUCCCCUAGGACACACGGACAACGCUACAUCUACGGACGUUUUGCACGGGAACCUCGGGCCGGGCCGGGCUUCGGGCCGGGCCUAGCCAAGCCCGACGCAAAAAACCCAGGCCCGAGCCCGGCCCAGCCCGGCCGUCGGGCCUGUUUUCUGGGCCCGAGCCCGGCCCGAACACAUAAAAGACCGUCGGGCUUCGGGCCAGCCCGGCCCGUCCUUCAGGAAAACGCGAAAAUGCUGGGCCUAGGCCCGGCCCGGCCCGGCCUUCGGGCUCAAAAUCUAGGCCCGAGCCCGGCCCGGGAACGGCGUCAGGCCGGGCCGGGUCGGGACACACCCACGAUCUCCCCCUCCCGUCUCCCCAUCCAGUCACGCAGGGAAGCCCUGCCCUUGUCCCAUCCGCCCCGUCCCCCAUCCAUCUCUUCCCCAUUCCCUCUUAUCCUCUUGAACCUCCUACAUGGCCCUCAUGGCCUCAUGGGCGCCGCCUCUGACCACCGCAUCCCCGCCUUAGUGGACGCCUCCUCCCCGUCGCCGAAGCAGGAGAAGCCCACAAACUCGCACGGCUACGGCGGCCCUAGAGGACCACACCGCCACUAUGGCUCCUCCCGCGUUGAGAUCGGAUGGGCAGACGCUUGCCUGCACUGCCGCUGA
rnacentral:rRNA from 1 species